CCCAGAGCAAGGGCCACACAGCAUGGACUGGACACAGUCAGACAAGAGCCACGGAGUGUCUGCCAGUGGCAGUGGGGACAUUAGGCACCACACUGUCCACCAGACCAGACCCGGUCUCCCUGCGGGCGCAUGAGGCCAGCAGCCCCCUGCAGACGAGGUUAUGUGGGAGAAUCUGACGUCCUGGGCAGUGCGGAAAACGUGCAGGUGCUCAGUCCUGUCCUGCAGAAACGCUGGGCUGGGAGCCCUGACGAAGCGGGUUUGAGGGCACAGCAGGGCGACUCCAGAGAGCAGCACACGGCACACACAGCCAGAGCUCGGAGAAGUCUGAAAACUUUCUCCAUGAAGAAAUUGUAAAUGUCUGGGGAGAUGGAUGUGCUUUCCCUGAUUUAAACACACACAAUGUAUACAUGCAUCAAACCAUUCUGCAGCACCC
rnacentral:lncRNA from 1 species